rnacentral:rRNA from 1 species
GACGAACGCUGGCGGCGUGCUUAACACAUGCAAGUCGAACGGUAAGGCCCCAGCUUGCUGGGGUACACGAGUGGCGAACGGGUGAGUAACACGUGGGUGACCUGCCCCGCACUUCGGGAUAAGCCUGGGAAACUGGGUCUAAUACCGGAUAGGACCGCACCGUGAGGGGGUGGUGGAAAGUUUUUCGGUGUGGGAUGGGCCCGCGGCCGAUCAGCUUGUUGGUGGGGUAAUGGCCUACCAAGGCGGCGACGGGUAGCCGGCCUGAGAGGGUGGACGGCCACAUUGGGACUGAGACACGGCCCAGACUCCUACGGGAGGCAGCAGUGGGGAAUAUUGCACAAUGGGCGGAAGCCUGAUGCAGCGACGCCGCGUGGGGGAUGACGGCCUUCGGGUUGUAAACUCCUUUCACCAUCGACGAAGGUUUUCUGACGGUAGAUGGAGAAGAAGCACCGGCUAACUACGUG